AGUGAACGCUGGCGGUAGGCCUAACACAUGCAAGUCGAACGGCAGCACAGUAAGAGCUUGCUCUUACGGGUGGCGAGUGGCGGACGGGUGAGGAAUACAUCGGAAUCUACUUUUUCGUGGGGGAUAACGUAGGGAAACUUACGCUAAUACCGCAUACGACCUACGGGUGAAAGCAGGGGAUCUUCGGACCUUGCGCGAUUGAAUGAGCCGAUGUCGGAUUAGCUAGUUGGCGGGGUAAAGGCCCACCAAGGCGACGAUCCGUAGCUGGUCUGAGAGGAUGAUCAGCCACACUGGAACUGAGACACGGGCCAGACUCCUACGGGAGGCAGCAGUGGGGAAUAUUGGACAAUGGGCGCAAGCCUGAUCCAGCCAUACCGCGGGGGUGAAGAAGGCCUUCGGGUUGUAAAGCCCUUUUGUUGGGAAAGAAAAGCAGCAGGUUAAUACCCCGCUGUUCGGACGGUACCCAAAGAAUAAGCACCGGCUAACUUCGU
rnacentral:rRNA from 1 species